CCUUGAAAUACCACCCUUUAAUGGCUGGUGUUCUAACGUAGACCCGUGAUCCGGGUUGCGGACAGUGUCUGGUGGGUAGUUUGACUGGGGCGGUCUCCUCCCAAAGAGUAACGGAGGAGCACGAAGGUUGGCUAAUCCUGGUCGGACAUCAGGAGGUUAGUGCAAUGGCAUAAGCCAGCUUGACUGCGAGCGUGACGGCGCGAGCAGGUGCGAAAGCAGGUCAUAGUGAUCCGGUGGUUCUGAAUGGAAGGGCCAUCGCUCAACGGAUAAAAGGUACUCCGGGGAUAACAGGCUGAUACCGCCCAAGAGUUCAUAUCGACGGCGGUGUUUGGCACCUCGAUGUCGGCUCAUCACAUCCUGGGGCUGAAGUAGGUCCCAAGGGUAUGGCUGUUCGCCAUUUAAAGUGGUACGCGAGCUGGGUUUAGAACGUCGUGAGACAGUUCGGUCCCUAUCUGCCGUGGGCGCUGGAGAAUUGAGGGGGGCUGCUCCUAGUACGAGAGGACCGGAGUGGACGCAUCACUGGUGUUCGGGUUGUCAUGCCAAUGGCACUGCCCGGUAGCUAAAUGCGGAAGAGAUAAGUGCUGAAAGCAUCUAAGCACGAAACUUGCCCCGAGAUGAGUUCUCCCUGAGACCUUGAGUCUCCUGAAGGAACGUUGAAGACGACGACGUUGAUAGGUCGGGUGUGUAAGCGCAGCGAUGCGUUGAGCUAACCGAUACUAAUGAACCGUGAGGCUUAACCUUACAACGCCGAAGGUGUUU
rnacentral:rRNA from 3 species